GGGUCAGUAGGUUGGUCGUGCCACCGGUACGUACUGGUCUCACUGAUUCCUCCUUCCUGAAGAACCGUAAUGCCAUUAAUUUGGUGUUGCGGGGAAACAGGACUGUUACUUUGAAAAAAUUAGAGUGUUUAAAGCAAGCUAACGCUUGAAUACAUUAGCAUAGAAUAAUGAAAUAGGACGAUCGAUCCUAUUUUGUUGGUUUGUAGGAUUGACGUA
rnacentral:rRNA from 1 species